rnacentral:rRNA from 1 species
UACGUAGGUGGCAAGCGUUGUUCGGAUUCAUUGGGCGUAAAGCGCGCGUAGGCGGCUUGGCAAGUCGGAUGUGAAAUCCCUCGGCUCAACCAAGGAAGUGCAUCCGAAACUGCUGAGCUUGAGUACUUAAGAGGAUCGCGGAAUUCCCGGUGUAGAGGUGAAAUUCGUAGAUAUCGGGAGGAACACCAGUGGCGAAGGCGGCGAUCUGGGAAGAUACUGACGCUGAGGUGCGAAAGCGUGGGGAGCAAACAGG